AGGACGAACGCUGGCGGUGUGCUUCACACAUGCAAGUCGAACGAGGUAGCAAUACCUAGUGGCGGACGGGUGAGUAACGCGUGGGAACAUACCUUUUGGUUCGGAACAACACAGGGAAACUUGUGCUAAUACCGGAUAAGCCCUUACGGGGAAAGAUUUAUCGCCGAAAGAUUGGCCCGCGUCUGAUUAGCUAGUUGGUGAGGUAACGGCUCACCAAGGCGACGAUCAGUAGCUGGUCUGAGAGGAUGAUCAGCCACAUUGGGACUGAGACACGGCCCAAACUCCUACGGGAGGCAGCAGUGGGGAAUAUUGGACAAUGGGCGCAAGCCUGAUCCAGCCAUGCCGCGUGAGUGAUGAAGGCCCUAGGGUUGUAAAGCUCUUUUGUGCGGGAAGAUAAUGACGGUACCGCAAGAAUAAGCCCCGGCUAACUUCGUGCCAGCAGCCGC
rnacentral:rRNA from 1 species